AAAUGAAUUGACGGGGGCUCACACAAGCGGUGGAGGAUGUGGCUUAAUUCGAGGCUACGCGAAGAACCUUAUCCUAGAUUUGACAUGGCAGGAUGGCGCGCCUGAAAGGGAUGCGUCUGCCUUCGGGUGAAACUGUCACAGGUGCUGCAUGGCUGUCGUCAGCUCGUGUCGUGAGAUGUCGGGUUAAGUCCCUUAACGAGCGAAACCCUUGUCUUCAGUUGCCAGCGAGUAAUGUCGGGGACUCUGAAGAGACUGCCGGUGUUAAACCGGAGGAAGGUGGGGAUGACGUCAAGUCCUCAUGGCCUUUAUGUCUAGGGCUGCACACGUCCUACAAUGGCGCGCACAGAGGGAAGCAAACUCGCGAGAGCAAGCAAAUCCCAAAAAACGCGCCCCAGUUCGGAUUGCAGGCUGCAACUCGCCUGCAUGAAGCCGGAAUCGCUAGUAAUCGUGGGUCAGCAUACCACGGUGAAUAUGUUCCUGAGCCUUGUACACACCGCCCGU
rnacentral:rRNA from 1 species